rnacentral:rRNA from 1 species
UACAGAGGGUGCAAGCGUUAAUCGGAGUUACUGGGCGUAAAGGGCGCGUAGGCGGUAGAUUAAGUUUGAUGUGAAAUCCCUGGGCUUAACCUAGGAAUUGCAUUGAAUACUGGUUGACUAGAGUACUGCAGGGGAGACUGGAAUUCCUGGUGUAGCGGUGGAAUGCGCAGAUAUCAGGAGGAACACCGGUGGCGAAGGCGGGUCUCUGGGCAGUAACUGACGCUGAGGAGCGAAAGCGUGGGGAGCGAACAGG